UAGUAAUGUUGCAAGGACAGUUGAUAUCC
rnacentral:piRNA from 1 species